rnacentral:tRNA from 1 species
CCAACUGUGGCUCAGUUGGUAGAGCAUGGUGUUUGCAAUGCCAGGGUUGUGGGUUCGAUUCCCACGGUGGGC